ACUCCUACGGGAGGCAGCAGUGGGGAAUCUUGCACAAUGGGGGAAACCCUGAUGCAGCGACGCCGCGUGAGCGAUGAAGCCCUUCGGGGUGUAAAGCUCUUUCGGCAGGGAAGAUGAUGACGGUACCUGCAGAAGCAGCUGCGGCUAACUACGUGCCAGCAGCCGCGGUAAUACGUAGGCAGCGAGCGUUGUUCGGAGUUACUGGGCGUAAAGGGUGUGUAGGCGGUUGUUUAAGUUUGGUGUGAAAUCCCCCGGCUCAACUGGGAGGGUGCGCCGAAUACUGAAUGACUUGGAGUGCGGGAGAGGUGAGUGGAAUCCCUGGUGUAGCGGUGAAAUGSGUAGAUAUCAGGAGGAACACCGGUGGUGUAGACGGCUCACUGGACCGUAACUGACGCUGAGACACGAAAGCGUGGGUAGCAAACAGGAUUAGAUACCCUGGUAGUCCACGCCCUAAACGAUGCAUAUUUGGUGUGGGCAGUUCAUUCUGUCCGUGCCGGAGCUAACGCGUUAAAUAUGCCGCCUGGGGAGUACAGUCGCAAGGCUGAAACUCAAAUGAAUUGACGKGUUACG
rnacentral:rRNA from 1 species